rnacentral:lncRNA from 1 species
UAAAACUGUAGGAAACAGAUAAACAGAAUAAGGAAAAGGAGAAAUAAAAAGAAACCAAUAGACCUAAACCUACAUGACCACUUGGACAAACAAGCAGAAAGGAAAAGGCUCAGCCCAUCACCACUUCCAUCCUCAACCUCCUGUUCACAGGGGGGGCUGGACGCGCGUGCGGCGUCCAUACCGUGGAUGGCCACACGGCGACUAUCCGGCGAUGCCCCUGCGAGGAUAAAGCCACCCCGACCCCCCUCUGAACCCUAGGUCGACCUUUCCCCCCCUCCGUCACUCUUCUCCUUCGACUUCUUCGUCGCCCGAAGAAACCAUCGUCGUGAUGUCGUCGUCUUCGCGGCCAGGAGCUUCUCCGAGCCACGAUUGGGUGUCCAGGAGGUGCGCUGCAUCCAUCUACGUCGACUACAAGGAGCGAUUCAACUGGAAUCGCACUGCGCCCAUGCAUCGGCCGAUCUCCUUCGUCUACGGCCGCCGCACCUCGCCGCUCGAUCCGCCCGUCUUCGACCACCUCCGGCCUCCCCGACCUCGCCUUCGUGUUCAUUGUGAGCUCCUCCUCCAUUCCCCACUAAUUUCCGCCUCGAUUCGUCGGCGUAGCCAUCUUCCGCUUCCUUCCGUGGCCGCGCUCGGAGCUCUGCUCCCCCGUGCGCCUGCUCACGCUCGUGCUCACCUUGCACCGGCCGCGCCUCGCAGGCCUCCUGAUGGCGCCACAGUCGCGCCCCCUGCGCGUGCCCGGCGGCCUGUGCGUGUCCGCGUCCCCGCUGCUGCUCCUGUCGGCGCGCUGGUGCGCCAUGGCCUUACCCCGCUGCUGUGGCUGCUUGCUGCUGCGUAGUGCCGUUGCUUGCUGCUGUUCUUGCCGCUGCUCUUGCUGCUGCCCUCGUACUGCUCCUGCCGCUAGGUGCCCUUGCUGCUCGAGUUGUGCUGCUGCCACCAGGUGCCGCCGCUGCCUGCUGCUGCUGCUGGCCACGGCCAUGGCCGUUUGCGUCAGUGUGUGUGCGUGCGGUGUGUGUAGUUGUGUGUGUGUGUGAGCGCGUUGUGUGUGUGCGUAUGUGUGUGGAUGAGGCCGAUCCUAGUUAAGUAGGUUAGCUAAUUAGUAGUUAGGCUAAGUAGUGGUUAGGUAUAGGGUAAAUAACAUAUGGGACCAUCCUGGUUAAUUACCAUUUUAUUAGACGAAAGACAAUGACACAUGGGACCCACUUACACUAUUCAUGUGUUGGCCAGUCAACCUUUGACCGGGUCAACCCAACCCCAUUGGCCCCAUUGUCAUAAUCACAUGCUAGGGUAGCACUAGGUGACAAAAAUAUUUUCUGCUUUUAAUUCGAAUUAAAACAAUUUAAAAAAGAUAAAACUUUGAAAAUUAAUAUAAAAUAAACCGUAGCUCGGAUAGAAAAACUUUGUACAUGAAAGUUGCUCGUAACGACGAGACGAAUUCGAAUACACAACCCGUUCGUCCGCCACACAUCCCUAGCAUAUCGAACACGCAACUUUUCCCCUCCAAUUCAUCUGUCCGAAAACGCGAAACACCUGGAAUACUUUCCCGAAUGUUUCCCCCCUUCGUCGGUAUCACCUACUACCGCGUUAGGGCACACCUAGCACCGCGUAUUGCCAUGUUACGCUUUGUGAUGCUUUGAUUGCUUUGUUAUUUAUUGUGUUCCCCCUCCGCUACUUCUUUCCGGUAGACCCCGAGACUGCCAACGACCCCAGUUCGACUACACCGAAGAUGACCCCUCCUUCCCGGCUGAGCUUCCAGGCAAGCCCCCCCUUGAUCACCAGAUAUCGCCUAUUCUCCUCUAUACUGCUUGCAAUAGAGUAGUGUAGCAUGUUACUGCUUUCCGUUAAUCCUAUUCUGAUGCAUAGCCUGACAUUGUUGCUACAUUUGUUAAUACCUUACCUGCAAUCCUAAAUACUUAGUAUAGGAUGCUAGUUUAUCAUCUGUGGCCCUACAUUCUUGUCGGUCUGCCUUGCUAUACUAUCGGGCCGUGAUCACUUGGGAGGUGAUCACGGGUAUAUACUAUACAUAUAUACAUACUACAAAUGGGGACUAAAGUCGGGUCAGCUCGUUGAGUACCCGCAAGUGAUUCCGAUGUGGGGGCUGGAAGGACAGGUGGCUCCAUCCCGGUAGAGGUGGGCCUGGGCUCCCGACGGCCCCUGACUGUUACUUUGUGGCGGAGCGACAGGGCACGUUGAGACCACCUAGGCGAGAGGUGGGCCUGGCCCUGUUCGGCAGCCGCGGUUACUUCAUAAUAACACGCUUAACGAGAUCUUGGUAUUGGAUCUAAGUCUGGCCACUGGCCUAUACGCACUAACCAACUACACGGGAAACAUAUGGGCACUCGACGUCCUAGUAUCAGCCGAAGCCUUCGUGACGUCAGCGACUGAGCAGCGUGCGCCGGGUUGGACUGCGUUAACGCAACUUCCUUUAUAAUGGAGGUUGCUAGGUCUGCUUCCGGCCGUGUACGCAACGUGCAGGUGUGCAAUGGGCGAUGGGCCCAGACCCCUGCGCGCAUAGGAUUUAGACCGGCGUGCUGACCUCUCUGUUGUGCCUAGGUGGGGCUGCGACGUGUUGAUCUUCCGAGGCCGGGCAUGACCUAGGAAAGUGUGUCCGGCCAAAUGGGAUCGAGCGUGUUGGGUUAUGUGGUGCACCCCUGCAAGGAAGUUUAUCUAUUCGAAUAGCCGUGUCCCUCGGUAAAAGGACGACCCGGAGUUGUACCUUGACCUUAUGACAACUAGAACCGGAUACUUAAUAAAACACACCCAGAGAAGUUCCACAGACAACCCGGUGAUCGCUUUUCCAUAGGGCGACGAGGGGAGGAUCGCCGGGUAGGAUUAUGCUAUGCUAUGCUACUUGGAGGACUUCAAUCUACUCUCUUCUACAUGCUGCAAGACGGAGGCUGCCAGAAGCGUAGUCUUCGACAGGAUUAGCUAUCCCCCUCUUAUUCUGGCAUUCUGCAGUUCAGUCCACUGAUAUGGCCCUUUACACAUAUACCCAUGCAUAUGUAGUGUAGAUCCUUGCUUGCGAGUACUUUGGAUGAGUACUCACGGUUGCUUUGCUCCCUCCUUUUCCCCUGUAUCCUCUUCUUCUCGGAUGCUGCAACCAGACGUUGAAGCCCAGGAUCCAGACGCCACCGUCGACGACGACUACUACACUUGAGGAGCCUACUACUACGUGCAGGCCACUGACGACGACCAGGAGUAGUUAGGUGGAUCCCAGGCAGGAGGCAUGCGCCUCUUUCGAUCUGUAUCCCAGUUUGUGCUAGCCAUCUUAUGGCAACUUGUUAACUUAUGUCUGUACUCAGAUAUUGUUGCUUCCGCUGACUCGUUUAUGUACGAGCACUUGUAUUCGAGCCCUCGAGGCCCCUGGCUUGUAAUAUGAUGCUUGUAUGACUUAUUUUACUUUUAGAGUUGUGUUGUGAUAUCUUCCCGUGAGUCCCUGAUCUUGAUCGUACACAUUUGCGUGCAUGAUUAGUGUAUGAUUGAAUCGGGGGCGUCACAAGUUGGUAUCAGAGCCGACUGCCUGUAGGAAUCCCCCUUUCCAGCUCCUUGGCUGAAGUUGAGUCUAGUCGAUGAAAAUUGUUUUACUAACUUGGCUGUGCGGCCCAUGGGCCCACGUCGCCAAUUGGGUGGUAUUAGGAUCUUUUAUUCCUCGACCUAUACUCUGGGACUCUAAUCUCUCCUCUAUUCGGGUUAAAUGAUUCUAAAUCUGACUCUAGGUUCUCGUAACUACUUUCUCCCGGAGAGCCCCUAAUCACAUAUGAUCACCUACUGCGUCAGAAGAUUUCGAAGGUACUCUAGGAUGUUCUCCCGAGAUGCUUGUGCCCACCGCCUUUGCAAAUUCCCUACCACUGUUAUAUCCUUAUGGAUAACUGCAUGCACCUGCCAUUCUUACAUUCGAUCCCAUUGAGCUUGUUAUUACAAGGUGCAAUGAACUGCUCUUCGUUGUUCCAAGAAUCCUUUGAGCUUACUGCCUUACGGCUCUUUGCCACAAGAAUACCCAUAUGGAUAAUUCCUUGCACUUAUCGAGUAUCCGCUCCUUCUUAGUUGUUCAGGUGUUUCACAUAAGCCUUCGAACUAUUAUUUGAUCUUUCAAAAAUCCUCAACAGCCUAUUGUUCUUGAAAUUCUUGCUUGUUUGCAUUUUGGUUAAUCCCAUAAGCAUAAUAAUCUUAUUGGCAUCCUUUGUCACUAUCAUUUUUGAGUCCAUUAAUUCAAUAAGUUGUGAAUGUUCACAAUCAUCAGUCGAAUCCUAAGAUUAUCCUUCCGGCUCAAAUGACAUUUGGAUAUGAGCUGGUUCUUGACCAACAAAUGCCUUGAUCGGUUGUGCUUCUAAGCCUAUCGAACUUAUUCAUUUUCAAUCAGAACGAUUGCUUCUGAUCCCUUAAUUUGGAAAUAAUAAAAUUCUUUGCAUUAAGCUUUGAAUUAGUCAGUUGUUUCUACAAUCUGAUGCCUUGGCAUUCCUUCUUCCUCUGAUUGAGUACCGAUACUCACAUCAGCCCCGUUGUGGACCGCCAUACCCAUUACCGGGUUAUUAUCCGACAGUCUCCUUCACAACCAAAAUUCUUAUGAGUUCCUUACUCGAUACAUAAUACCUUUGGUAAAUUGUAUCCUCUACUUUUGUCAACCAUGCUCUACUUUUGAGCUUGUGUUAUUUACUCCCGAAGUUCAUGGUAUAUGUUCUAAGAAGCCCCGAUGGGUUGAACCUAUGCCUUCCUUAAUCUGUGUGAACUCGUAAGUUUUCACGGGUCAUACUCCUCUGGUAAUUCACCAGGUAGGUUUUGACACUGAAAUCAUUUUUAUCUAGAGCAGUGAAUGAAAGGUUAUGCAUUGAAGAAGUGGGAGUCGACCUUGAACUUUGUGUUCAUGCCCAUGAACAUGAUGUAGAUCCUAUCAUGGAAGCUACUCUUAAAUUAAUUAUUCCCUGGGUAUAAGUUCAUCUUAUAUCUGGGAUAUAGUCUUUUGCAAUCUUUGUUCCGGCCAUAUUGAUAUUCUUUGAUUCCUUUUCUCGGACAAGUUGAAGUACUUGUCUUCUGCAGAUCAUUACACCUAUCCAACCUCUAUUCUGCUCUACCUUUGAGUAUACCCUCUGGUAUCUCGAGAAUAUCACGGAACAACAUAACUUCUUAUGAGUUCUUCUUCAAGUAUUAUUUCACAUCGAUUUCAAUUUCGCCUGGGUUCUGAGUUGUUAGACACUCAAGGACACCGAUAAGUGAAUCAAUUCCGCACUCCGAUUCAAUAACUCUAAGUAAUCUUCGUUGCUUAUGAGCUUAUUAAUCCUUCAAGUCAUUCAUAGCCUGAUCGGCUAUAUCAAUAUCGUGCAACUUUUAAUUUUGCUACCUGGUCCUUCUUCUCGAAGCACAAUUUUCGACGAUGAGCUAAGCUUACGUCAACUUUCCUCGUCAUAUCAUUUUGCCUUGAAUAACAAGCUUGAUUCCGAGUGUCUGUCGUACCCGUGGUUUCAAUAACUUUUCGCUCCAUCCUUCCUUUUGCUUGAUGUCGUCGAUGAGCGAUAAUAUCUUAAUGAAACCUCUCAAUAAAUGUGCCAUGAUCAUCAUCAACAUUCUGAGCUCUUCAAGGAUAUUGAUCGAAUUCAUGUUGAGAAAUACCAUCCUUGCCCCUCGAUGAUUUGUGUUAUCAUCGACAACAUCCUUGUCUUCCCUCGACACAAAUGUGUUCUUGUUUGGGAUUGGAUCUUGAGUUCCUUGCUAUCCAGCAUUUGUUCUUCUUUACCUUGGAGUAUUACCAUCUUUUAUGUCAAGAAUGUCAUGAGGAUUACUCCACCUCUUAAGAAUUCUUGGUAUAGUGAUACUUCUCACCAUCACCAUUCUUUCUUGGUUCCCGUGUUGAUUCUAACCGGGGUACCAACAAGUGAACGGUGCUGUUUGGAUUCUGUACUUCUGGCAACCCUAAUGCUUUGAAGUUAAUGAUCGAUAGUUCAUUCUUAGACCAAUGGUUAUCGAAUUACCAUUCUAACCUUGAUCGUGCUAUCGAGCCCAUAUUUCGGGUGCAACUUUCAACCGAUGUUUAAAUAUGUAUGUUUUGCUCGAGCAUAAAUCAUUAUAUCAUUUGAUCUAACAAAUGAUAUCUCCUUGUUCACAUAAUUGUGGAAGUACAUCUUUUGGGAAUCUCGAUGAGUUGUCGCUGAGUCCAUCAGCCACCUCCUUAUCCUCUCCUUAGUUUAAUGAUGAACUCUCGUUUCGGAACUCACUCCCAUAGUUCAUUCCCCGAGUCUGAGAUAUCCUGACACCAAUCAGAUCUGAAUCUCGGUUAGGUAUGAUGAUUGGAACAUAUUUCCAAGAGUUAUAACAAUGGUCUUUAUGUGACCCGGUAAGGUGUUGUCGUGCCUAGCACACCUGGCCGGAGGCCUAUUGUUAUAGAUUCCUUUUCAGCAAGGUUAUCCAUUCUUCCAUGAGGAAACUGUAAGACUUAUUCUAUUAGUUUAUCCUGAUGGAUCCUUUGUGUAUCCAAAGUCUGACCUUUGCUUGAAGACCUUGUCAAUGCUAUCUCGAAGCAUGUCUGUGGUGCUCCGAUUUUCAAAAAGAACAUUUGAAGCCCAAUGCUAAAUAUUACUUGCUCAAUUAUCCAAACACCAUUGCAUUGGUAAUGUCAUGAAAUUUCUCUCCUCUCUCCUAAAGAGUUUUCUACAUUAUAUCCUGCCAAGGUUAUCAUGCUCUGCUUGUCCUUGGGAAGGGUAUACCCCUGAUAUAUGUGUUUAAACACAUUUUUCUUUCCAUUGUUCCAAUUACUCUGAUAAUCAUAUUUUCCUUUCCAUUGUUUGGUUUAACCUUUCUUGUGAGCUAUAUGAUCUAAGCGGUAAUAUUCUCCUGAUUAUGAACACACCUCGGUGUACAAUUCUGUCAGCAAGACGUUGUUGCUAUUGUUGAUGACAUUCCGGUAGCCACCGCUGGACGAGAACUUUGCCUAUUGGUCCGCAUCGUUCAACGAGCAGGAAAAUGGUUCUCUUCGUUCCCUCGCCCUUGGUACCGACGUUGUUGCCGACAUAGCUGGCAGUCUAUUCUCCGACAUGCCUUGCUAUCAUGAUCGAGCAUGAUGUCAUCGCUACUUCUACUUUUAACCCACAUGAUGGGCCCAUAACCCAUAGUUCCACAGGAUCGAAACCUGACUCUCUUAUACACCCCCUGUUGCCAAAGUUAUCCCUUAUGCUUGGCUUCGUAUGUAAUUCACGAGCUAAUUUCCCUGCCAUAUUUCAUUCCGGUAUCGGAUGCAACAUUUUUCUUCAUUGCUCUGAACCCCUUUCACACUCUGUUUCAGGCAACAAACGAUUGCCUGACCGCUUGAAACUUCCCAUGAUACCUCUUUACAUUGCUACCGAUAUUUUCUUAAGUUUCAAUUCGAGAGCUACUUUCCGCCACCUUCCCUGAUGUUAUCGACCAGAUAGUCAACCUUGUAGAGGUCUAUUCUCUCGGAAUACCCACCCCUUUAUUCUUUCGUAAGUACAAUGGAAUUCCCGAAGAAAGAAUGUCGACUUCAUCACGAUGACCUGAAGCAGAGAAAUGAAGACAUCAACGUAAUGGAUCGACCUCUUCGAGAAGAGCAACCAAGACCGAGAAGAUCCGUUAGAAUUUUGCAACCACAACUUUCCCCCUUACUCCACCGCUUAAAUCUCGGGACGAGAUUUCUUGUAGUGAAGGAGAUUUGUAACACCCCGGUAGUUGAGCUACAGUAACCUCACCCUAAUGGGCCAUGUCAUCGUGUUAAAUUAAGCCAAAUUGCCACUUGAUGAAGAUCAGAGUCAAAUUCAAAUUUCGAAAUACAAGACAAACUCUUAUUUCUUCAAACUGUCAAAUAAAAAUGUUCGAUAUGUUCCAAAUAUUCACUAACUAAUUUUCAUGUGGGAAUCAACAUUUAACAGAAUAUUAGAAUGCCCCUAAGCAUUUUAAAACUACUCCAGCAACAAUUAUAUGGGGCUUUCUACUUUAAAAUAAAUAUGAAUGCUUCUCAAAAUAAUUUGAAACUGCUGGUGCUAACUCAAUACCUUGCCUAUUAUUAUUGUGCUGAAUUGCAUACUUAACUAAAAUCAUUUGUUAGCUCAAUUAAAAAUAAAACUGUAGGAAACGGAUAAACAGAAUAAGGAAAAGGAGAAAUAAAAAGAAACCAAUAGACCUAAACCUACAUGACCACUUGGACAAACCAGCAGAAAGGAAAAGGCCCAGCCCAUCACCACUUCCAUCCUCAACCUGUUCACAGGGGGUGUGCUGGACGCGCGUGCGGCGUCCAUACCGUGGAUGGCCACACGGCGACUAUCCGACGAGGCCCCUGCAAGGAUAAAGCCACCCCGACCGCCCUCUGAACCCUAGGUCGACCUUUCCCCCCCUCCGUCACUCUUCUUCUUCGACUUCUUCGUCGCCCGAAGAAACCAUCGUCGUGAUGUCGUCGUCUUCGCGGCCAGGAGCUUCUCCGAGCCACGAUUGGGUGUCCAGGAGGUGCGCUGCAUCCAUCUACGUCGACUACAAGGAGCGAUUCAACUGGAAUCGCAUUGCGCCCAUGCAUCGGCCGAUCUCCUUCGUCUACGGCCGCCGCACCUCGCCGCUUGAUCCGCCCCUCUCCGACCACCUCCGGCCUCCCCGACCUCGCCUUCGUGUU